AUAGUAAAUGCUGCUCAAUCUGAAAGCACGUGCUGAAGAUUUACUACUAAUCACACAACACAAUCGUUCGAUUAAUCGUGCAGCCCUAGGGUCUUGUUUACCAAAUAAGGACUGAUAGAUUAACAGAGCUUUCAUUGGUGUUGAACCAGUGUUUGUGACUGAGCAACUGGGUAUAAAUGAAGCUGAUUGCAACCACUGAUCAGAGAACUACAUCGGGGGUGUUAGAGUGUGCUUAGUUGAAUUUCGAGUCCAUUGGUAAGAGGGUUUUCUGCUGUAUUUUGAUUCUUAGUGUGUUAAAACUUGUAAAUGCAUGUUCUUUACAUUUAUUUUGGAUAAUGGUGAUGUUAAUAGAACUGUGUCAGCAUGUGGAUUUCUGCAGUAUUCAUUCUUGCUUUGGCUGUAAGUGGAGUCCAAUCUAAAGAUUUUCAGCAUGAUGAAAGCUGUCCCACUGGCUGGGAAAAAUUUCGGAUGCAAUGUUUUAAAUUUUUCAGUGACUUGAAACCAUGGGCUGAAGCAGAG